UACGAAGGGUGCAAGCGUUGUUCGGAAUUAUUGGGCGUAAAGCGCGCGCAGGCGGAUAAGCAAGUCAGAUGUGAAAUCUCGGGGCUCAACCUCGAAACUGCGUCUGAAACUGCUUGUCUAGAGUACUGUAGGGGACAGGGGAAUUUCACGUGUAGGGGUAAAAUCCGUAGAGAUGUGAAGGAACACCGGAGGCGAAGGCGCCUGUCUGGCCAGUAACUGACGCUGAGGCGCGAAAGCGUGGGGAGCAAACAGG
rnacentral:rRNA from 1 species